rnacentral:rRNA from 1 species
ACUCAAAGGAAUAGACGGGGGCCCGCACAAGCGGUGGAGCAUGUGGAUUAAUUCGACGCAACGCGAAGAACCUUACCAAGGCUUGACAUGGAGACGCAACGGUUGGAAACAGCUGCCCCUCUUCGGAGGCGUCUCACACAGGUGGUGCAUGGUUGUCGUCAGCUCGUGUCGUGAGAUGUUGGGUUAAGUCCCGCAACGAGCGCAACCCUUGUUUUCAGUUGCCAGCACUAACGGUGGGCACACUGGAGAGACUGCCGUUCUAAAACGGAGGAAGGUGGGGAUGACGUCAAAUCAUCAUGCCCCUUAAGUCUUGGGCUUCACACGUGCUACAAUGGUCCUAACAAAGUGAUGCAAAGCAGUGAUGCAGAGCGAACCACAAAAUGGGACCUCAGUUCGGAUUGUAGGCUGCAACUCGCCUGCAUGAAGUUGGAAUCGCUAGUAAUCGCGGAUCAGCAUGCCGCGGUGAAUACGUUCCCGGGCCUUGUACACACCGCCCGU